rnacentral:pre_miRNA from 1 species
AGUGGAAAUGCUAGGUCAUAUGGUAAUUCCUCAACAUUUUGAGGAGCUGCCAGACCACUUCCCAAAGUGGCUAUACCAUUUUACAUAACCACAGCACU